CCGCAGAGGCGGUUGUAGCUGACGUUGAAGGAGCUCAGGUUCUUGAGCUUGGUCAGCUCCGGCGGGAUCUUCCCGUAGAUCCGGUUGUGGUUGAGGUCCAGGCCGCUGAUGUUGCGGAUGACCGCCGCCUUGGACAGGUCGAACUCCAGCUGGUUCCGGCUGAGGUCGAUGGACGUCCAUUUUCCGCUCCCCGCGAACAGCGCCGACGGGUCGCCGGUGAGCUGGUUCCUCGACAGAUCGAUCUGCGUGAUGUUCAGCCGCGCGAAGGACUGCGGGAUAGCGCCGGUGAGGUUGUUGUGGCUCAGCCGGAUGUAGAGGUCCGGCUGCGGGAGCUUGCCGAGGGCCUCGGGGAUGGGUCCGGAGAGCUGGUUCCGGUCGAGGAAGAGCGCCCCCAGCUGGGGGAGGUCGCCCAGGGAGGGCGGGAUAGCGCCGGAGAGCUUAUUGAAGGAGAGGUUGAUGUACUCGAGCUUGGCAAGGCGGCCGAGGAAGGCCGGGACGGGGCCGGUGAGGCCAUUCCAGUCCAUCCACAGCAUCUUCAGGCGGGUGAGCUUGGCGAGCUCCGGCGGGAAGGGCCCGGUGAGGUUGACGGAUUUGCGGAAGAUGAGUUUCUCCAGGUAGGGGAGGUCACCAAUGGACGGCGGGAGCUUGAUGGGCCCGGGGGUCUCCAUGCCGAGAAUGACAACGGCGGUGACGCGGCCGGUGGAAGGGUUGCACUCGGUGGCGUACCACUCGCCGCAGCAGUCGGUGCUGGCGGUCCAUGAGAUGAUAGUGUA
rnacentral:lncRNA from 1 species